rnacentral:rRNA from 1 species
AUGAACGCUGGCGGCGUGCCUCAUCCAUGCAAGUCGAGCGAACAGACGAGGAGCUUGCUCCUCUGACGUUAGCGGCGGACGGGUGAGUAACACGUGGAUAACCUACCUAUAAGACUGGGAUAACUUCGGGAAACCGGAGCUAAUACCGGAUAAUAUAUUGAACCGCAUGGUUCAAUAGUGAAAGACGGUUUUGCUGUCACUUAUAGAUGGAUCCGCGCCGCAUUAGCUAGUUGGUAAGGUAACGGCUUACCAAGGCAACGAUGCGUAGCCGACCUGAGAGGGUGAUCGGCCACACUGGAACUGAGACACGGUCCAGACUCCUACGGGAGGCAGCAGUAGGGAAUCUUCCGCAAUGGGCGAAAGCCUGACGGAGCAACGCCGCGUGAGUGAUGAAGGUCUUCGGAUCGUAAAACUCUGUUAUUAGGGAAGAACAAAUGUGUAAGUAACUAUGCACGUCUUGACGGUACCUAAGCAGAAAGCCACGGCUAACUACGU